AGGGGAGUGGGCGAUGAGGCUCGCCCUCGACCGCACAUCCCGUGCUGAUGGCCUCUGGGAGCGA
rnacentral:ncRNA from 1 species